GCUCAAUCUCACUGUUUUCUUCUGUCUCAUAGUGCUAGACAGUGUGCUUGGUUUGAUGAGAGAGAGGAUUUAAAAAAGCAAGGGAACUUUCUUUCUUUUGGGAAGCAGGACUGCACUUUCAUAGAAUAAGGAGAAACAGAGUCAAGACUCUACUUUUGGAGUAUGUGGGCCUGUUUCCUGAGGAUGUGAGGAAUGUUGAAAAAUUUGUUUUGUACUGCAGUUUUCUCUGGAUCAGCCAUAUUGCAUGGAGUCUAUUUCAACUGUCUUUAGCCAAAUAAGUGUUAGUCACCCAGUUUAACCUAAUUUCCUUGGAUUGCUUGGAGCCAGAUGGGCACCCACAAAAGACAGCUGAGCCAACCUCAACUGUUCAGCAUCUGUGGGAUGAAUUGUACUCUGAUCAUAUCUUUUCAACAAGGGGCUGAGACUUUGCAUCCAGAACCAUCACCUUUGACAUUCUGUGAGCUGUGUUACCCGAAGAGUGGCCCAGCUCUUCAGUUUUCCAAGAGGACCUCUUUAUAACUGUAUCUUUGGAAGCACA